GCUUUCCUCGAUAAUACUGUUCUUGCUUUCCUCGAUAUUACUGCGUCGCGCCUUACAUACGGACACAUUGCAUUUCAAAGCAAACCCUUGGGCCUGUUCGUUCCGCUUCCGUGGCCGUCGGGUAGCAUGUGAUCCCCAUUCCACAACUGCUGUCAACUACUCUUCUGUGUCAAGAUUACUAAAUGCUUGA
rnacentral:misc_RNA from 1 species